CUGGAUGAUGCUAUAUAUGCAGAACCUUGCUGGAGGGGGUAAAGAAGUGUGUAUAUUCCGUAUGCUCGGACGGAGGUGUAGCUCAAAUGGUAUGGGCAGAGCCACUAUAGCAGUUCCGUCGGCGGCACGUAAAAACAAAAAAACUAUACUGGGAAGUGUGAGUACGAAAGAUCAGAAGGGACAAGCAGAUUGGAUAAAUCAGUAAUAGUCCGUUCCUAUGCGUUUCAUGAGUGUGCACU